rnacentral:rRNA from 1 species
CCUACGGGAGGCAGCAGUGGGGAAUAUUGCACAAUGGGGGAAACCCUGAUGCAGUAACGCCACGUGAGUGAGGAAGUAUUUCGGUAUGUAAAGCUCUAUCAGCAGGGACUAGAAAAGACGGUACCUGAAAAAGAAGCCCCGGCUAACUACGUGCCAGCAGCCGCGGUAAUACGUAGGGGGCAAGCGUUAUCCGGAUUUACUGGGUGUAAAGGGAGCGUAGACGGAAAGGCAAGUCAGGAGGGGAAACCCAAGGCUCAACCCUGGGACUGCUUUUGGAACUGGUAAACUAGAGUACGGGAGGGGGAAGGGGAAAUGCGAGGGGAGGGGGGGAAUG